rnacentral:tRNA from 1 species
GGCCCCGUAGCUCAGUUGGAUAGAGCAGCUCCCUACUAAGGAGAUGGUCGUGGGUUCGAGUCCCUCCGGGGAAA